rnacentral:rRNA from 1 species
AACGAACGCUGGCGGCAUGCCUAACACAUGCAAGUCGAACGAGACCUUCGGGUCUAGUGGCGCACGGGUGCGUAACGCGUGGGAACCUGCCCUUAGGUUCGGAAUAACUCCCCGAAAGGGGUGCUAAUACCGGAUAAUGUCUUCGGACCAAAGAUUUAUCGCCUUUGGAUGGGCCCGCGUUGGAUUAGCUAGUUGGUAGGGUAAAAGCCUACCAAGGCGACGAUCCAUAGCUGGUCUGAGAGGAUGAUCAGCCACACUGGGACUGAGACACGGCCCAGACCCGGGGGGAAGGGGGAAGGGGGGAAUGUGGAAAAAGGGGGGAAGGACGCAUCGGCUAAGGGCGGGAGAGUGAGGAGGCUGUGAGGGUUGUGAAGCUUUUUAACCCGGGAAUAAAAGGACAGUACCGGAAGAAUAAGCUCGGGCUAACUGCGUG